GGUUAAGUUGUUAAGGGCGCACGGUGGAUGCCUUGGCACUAGGAGCCGAUGAAGGACGGUACUAACACCGAUAUGCUUCGGGGAGCUGUAAGUAAGCUUUGAUCCGGAGAUUUCCGAAUGGGGAAACCCACUGCUCGUAAUGGAGUAGUAUCUUCACCUGAAUUCAUAGGGUGAUGAUGGCAGACCCGGGGAACUGAAACAUCUAAGUACCCGGAGGAAGAGAAAGCAAACGCGAUUUCCCAAGUAGCGGCGAGCGAAACGGAAGAAGCCCAAACCAAGAGGCUUGCCUCUUGGGGUUGUAGGACACUC
rnacentral:rRNA from 1 species